UGCGGCAACCAACCUGGUGUACGAUCAGGUCGGGGACCACGACCCCCUCGUCAACGUAGGCGGCGGCUUGCGUGCGACCUGCUCGCAAGCAGGGGAUGCCUCGUCCGGCGUGUAUGACGAGACCACUGCUUUUAAACCUGACCGGGACGUAGACGAAGCGAGCAGGUCUGGCUUAAAUGCUCCUGUUUAGUAAUUUAGGAUCUUAUCUUAUGUGUGUGUGCUGUUUGUAUGUCUGACUUUGAGUUUGAUUUAUCCGAAAAAAUGUGUUGUACGUCUGUUCUGGAAUAAAACGUAGGUAAAUUUCAAAUAUACUUCUCGAUGGAAACAUGCUACGAGCAACACUUUUAAUGCGAUCCAAACGGACUGCGCUUUUAUCCGUUUUUUCCCUCUCGUGUCGGCCGCCCUCCAGCCGUCCGCUCCGUUUUUUAGAAAAAGGGGUCGCAGCCAUAUAAUGCCAGCGGCGCGUGUCGACGCUGAUAAGCAAUGCCGGAAUCAUGGAUAUUCGGAGAAACACCACAAGGGUCGUGCGGGCCAUCGUCCCCCCCAUGGUCAUUCCAGCACGCCUGUCGGCAUACAAGAAAGGUGUGUCGGCCUACAUCAUUUUGAAACACGCCCUUCUGUAGUGACGGCACUGGUGUUGAGAUCCGCCUUCCCGGUCUCCAUGCUCUGGCACCGUUGUGGCAUUUUGGUCGAUGGGGGGAGGCGCGGGAUGUGGUUGGCGCCACCACGCUCAGGGGCUGGCCAGUGUAGCGUUGACUAGGCCAUGCUAGCCAGCAACUAACCCUACCAUGUACAGCGCCUCCCUCGUGCCGCCGCGGAGUGGGCACCCUUGACGUCCAGGUGCACAGCGGCGUCGACGGCGGCCACUGUUAUGGCUUCGUCCCCCACGCCCGGUGCGUGCCUCCGGCACUUCCUCAUCACCGAAUGGGUAUAUUUCAUGCUGGACGAGGCGAGGUGGGUGAGGCCGGCGACGGAUAUGAGGUGGUCGUCCAUGGAUCCGGGCGGGAGCGGGGAGCGCGCGCGGGCGGGAUGCUUCCGGGGGAAAUGUAUGAAAAUGGUGGGGGCUCGUCUCGUGCCCACGUCGCAGCAAGUCCGGCUCAAACGUGGAGCUUCGGUUUCGUUUGGGUCGGCGCAUUGCACCGAUUUCCCUGUCUACGUCGACCCAAACGGACGCGUGCGGACGAAAUGGGUCGCCCGGUUGUAGUUUCUCUAAUCAACAGUGUGUGCGCGUCGAUCGAUAUUUAUCUCACAUGGUGAUACGGUGCAGACACAUGCAUGCGCACCAUGAUGGCAUUUUCGAGCAUCUCUUCUGCUCUCCCGCAACAGCUACGAGUAGCUACUCGACGUACUGCGCGACCGCGACGGCUGAUUACACGCAACUUGCGUGCAGAUGCGCCUCCACAAGCGAAGUAAUGUGGGAUCAGUUUCAACACGUGCUCUCGUCUGGACGUCUCGCAUUGCAACGAUUGCUUGUGCGUGUUUUAACUGGCGGCUGCUUACCACGCGUGUGUUGCUGUGAGCGUUUCCACCUACUGCCGCGCCUGGACUCGUGUAUUUUUUGUAGAUGCAAAAGUAACCUUUCAGAAAAUCGUAGGGGAGGAAAUGGAUUGAUGAUGCACUGAUGUGGUUGGGCAGGCGUAGUAAUGCAAGGUUCCUUGCCAUGCAUGACGAACAGUGUUCGGACACAAAUCCUCUCACUCUGUCGUCUUCCAAAAGCCACGUUGCUAGCGCGUCUGCUGCAAAAGCAGAGGAGGGUUUAUACGCCGCAACCCCGUCCCCGGGAGCUUCACUUCUCGGCCACAACGCUCUCCUCCACCCUCGCCCAGCCUGCUCGCUCCCCAUUCCACCGCCGAGGAGUACUCCGUCAAGAUCCAAGUGCCAGGCCGACCAAUGCAAGGUAUCAUCUUUCGCCUCACCACCUCUCUGUUGGCGUUGGCUUGCUCGCUCCCACGUCCGUUUUGACCGGUUCGUGCACGCUUGUUCGCACUUGCAGUUUUUGUUUGCUGCCAUGUCGCGUCUUGGGACGCGCUCGACCGGCACGGCAACCGGCAGCAGCUCUACGGCUGUGCCAGGCACAAACACUGCUUCCCUCGUGCCGCCGGUGGGCGCAGACGAUGAUCCAAGCAAUGAGUCGGAUGCAAACUGCGGCAAGAUCCAGGUUCGGAGCUACCUAGCCCCUAGGAUAGUGAAUGAAGUCGUUGCUGCCCUGACGGAACCACAAAAAAAGUUGUUUGUUGAGAGGGGCCUUGGCGCCAUGCUGUCACUCCCUGAACUUGUGAACAUAGACCGUUAGUACAGUUUCUGGAAUGCUACUAGGAUAGAUCCGGUUAGGAAAACAGUCAGGCUGGGUGAUGGCAGUUCUCGGCCGGUGAUGGCUGAUGCUGUUAGGGAUGUAGUAGGUGUGGGGACGGGUGACAGGGAGAUUCCCUUCCCCCAUGAGCCGAGCUGCGUCGAUCGUGAUAUCUUCAGGGACGUGUGUGCCGGUUUGGGACUAGAUGAGACGCUGGAUAAGAUUAGCUUGCAAAUGCUGCGGUCCGUGCUUGCUUCCCCACGUGAUCUAAGUGUCGAUUUUGAGUCCAACUGGCAAUGUGCUGCAUUUGCUCUCCUUUGCACUGCUUGCUUGUUCAAUCCUAGAGUGAAUCGGAAGGACGACCCGAUCAGCCCGGAAGUGUUCAUUGUUGUGCGUGAUCCAUCGAAGAUGUUUGAGUUUGAUUGGUGUGGAUACAUAAAAGUUGUUAUCAUGGCUGGUGUGACUAAGAUGCACGCUGAUCUCAAUGCUGGGGCGACGACGGUUCAGUUGCAAGGGUUCCUAAUGGUUCCUCAGGUAGCCUCAUCUCACAUACUAUGUUUCAUAUACAUUUGCCGUGUUUUUUGCAUACCUAUCCCAUAAGGCUGAAUUGUUGCUUUCCCUCCUGUACUGUCCUAGGUAAUCACAUUUGAUGCAAUGGUGGCUCGGCGGGGGUUGCAACCAGGGCAUCCCCGCAUAACAUUGUACAAGGCUGAGGACUUCCAGCUGCUCGCUGGUUUGGACGCUGAUCGUCGAAGUAUUGGUUGACACAGGUUAUAUGGCAAGGCGAGGGUGAGUAGACAAUUACUGUCAUAUGGAUAGCUGUUUUGUAUCAAUAUGAAUUCUGCACAUAUACUUGCCCCCUGAUGUUUUAUUAUACCCAUUUGAUCUGCAUUUCCUUGCCAGAUAAGGUUUGUCGGUGAAGAUGUCGCCAUAGGGGACUCGGCGAACCAGGGGUUGCCUCCUGUUGUGGACGUUGACGCUGCUCCAGUUGUUGCCCCAGCUGAAACUGUCGUUUCACUGUCUGAAGUGGCCGGGUGGCAGGCUGAGGUAUAAUCUAUGGCACAGAAUCGUAUAUAUUUUGCUGCCGGCGUGUCUUGCCGCUCCGUACUAUGCAUAAUCACUAAUGGGAUGAGCUACUUUGCCCCUAGGUGGUUGACUACUUGAGUGCAGUAAUGAAUGCACACAUCUCGUCUGUUACUGAGGAGAAUAUGAACUUGAGGAACCAUGCUGAGUCUUGCAUGACCAGCUUGCUUGCGAUGAUUGACAGUCGUAACGCAAACAAUGUCAACUCCUGUAAUGAGAUGAUCGGGUGUGCGGUUUCAAAAGUAGCUGAUUUCAAGCUGAGGGUAGCUGGUGGUGAGAUUUCCUUUGUUAAGAUUCAUGGCGAGACUUGCUCCUUUGACAUCAUUUUGAUAUAUUCCAUUUCAAAAAAAAGGCUUGCCUAACGGUUUCGUUUCAGAUUCUAACACGGGUGUUGUGCCCGAUGUCAAAGGGAAAAGCCAUGUACCAGAGGCAGAAGGUAUGUGUGUGCUAUUGUCAGCUUUGUGUGGGUUUAGUUGGUUAUUUGUUGUCAUGGCUUGUGGCAAACAAACAUAAAUUGUCCCUUGUGACAGGUCCAUCCACUUCUAGGCUCGUGAACCCGAAUAUUAGGAAGCGGCUUGGCACGGAUCUACUAUCAAGCUUGGGUGCUGCCACUGGUGAGUCUAUUAGUUUUUUGAUAUCUGCUUGCUAAAUCAUGCUAUAUGAGAAUGUUAGCCAGUAGGGGUGGUCAAGCGUGCAUUUUAAUGUAAUACUGGGCAGAGCGAUGUGAUCCGUGAUGCACGGACGCUCUUUGGGCCGUUCCCAAGCCCAAAUAGCCUUGACUUGAACCGCAGGACAUCAUUGAGGGAAGUUGGUUCAACCAGUGUUGGAAUUGGUAAGCUUCCAACUGGAUAAACUUCUCCGAGUUCCUGUGCAACAAAAUGUAUAAAAUACAAGCUAAUUCCUAACUGUUAUUUAGUUACUGAGGGGCGGGGGUGUUGUUGUCGCUGCCUAUUUUGUAGGUAAUGUGGCCAGGCGCCUUGAUUUGAAUUUGGCGAGUGACGUUUGUGAUUUCAUAAAUGGGACACCAUUUGUGCGUCCGAUGAACCCUAUGCCCGUCGACACAAAUUUAACCAUUGGUCCUUCCCCAUUCAGAGAACCACCUGCAGUUUUGCGGCCCCCCGGUAUGUGGCCCUUCCUCCCCGACUGUGUCUCUAUCUCCCUAAUUUAUUAUAAGUUAUUUGUUUUCCACCCAAGCGAUUGUUAUGGUGGCUUUUUAAUCCCCUAUACUUACCCCCUGUUUUCAUGUGUGUCCAGAACUCACGCAGAGCAAAUUGCUUGGGUGGUUUGCUAUAGCUCCGCCAAAUAAACGCCCAAGGAUGACUACUGACUACUCGAUUGCAAACCCGGUUGGAGUAGCUGUUUCUGAGAUGGAGGGGCGGAGAAGAGAUGAGUGUUUCUAUGCAAUGGCCAUGGAUUCAUCAGUCAAUGAUUUAUUUAGGUAUGUGCAAACAUGGUGGACACUUGUUUUGACAUAUUUGUUGAUCGGAUAACCAGCGCGUGUGUGCGCACUGCAAAAAUCUGCAUAUCAUGAACAAAAUGGAUUUUGUUCCGUGUGCAGGGUGUGGUUCAAGCAUGGGCGCCCAUAUCUCAUUGAGAUGACUGGUGAGGAGGUGCUGGAAGAGUUCCACAUCGAUAAAACACUUGCCCAAAAAGGCCUUGACUCCAUUCUACGUUUGGGGAUCUGCCCCCCGGCAUCAGGGAGACUGAUCAUUGGGCCUGAUUAGGCGGUGAGUGUGUGUCCACAUCAAUUAACUUGUUUUCCUUGGUUUUGUUUAGUAGCAGUUGUCUGGAUGAAGUGUAAAUGUUUUUUGCUUGUAGUUCAAAGUUUCAUACACUAGGGGGUACUGGAGGAGAGCGGAUGUCCGUGCAAUGUUUAAUCAACUACCACCCGGGGUUUCGUGCGAACUGGUUAGUGAUCAGAUUUUCCUCUUCCAUUUAGUGGAUGUGUUGCAUCAAGUACCGCCUUUUCGUAGCUAUCUUGUUGGCUUUGUUAUUCUAACUGAAUCAAAAAACAGGGGCUGGUUGUGGUGUACCUUGGUCAAGGGUGGAGUCUGUAUGUCUUUGACACGCUGCGAAGGGUUCUUCAUUUAAUUGAUCCAAACAUUUGCAAGCCUGCUGAGAGCCAGAUGAAAGCAAAGCACUUGCGGAAUGCAGAGGAGCUGUUGGAUGCAUUCUUGAAGUGUGGUGAGAUGUUCUGGGGGGAGGGGAAGGUGCCACACAAUGGAUGGUCUUAUUGUUUCCACCCUACGUGCACCUAUGAGAGGUCAGUUUUGCUUGCCGCAAAACAAUUUGUUCCUUUCUGCCUUCAUAUGUUCUAACAAACUAGUUUUUUGUGUUGGGGUUCAGCUCUGACACGGCUAUGCAGGUUGUGCACCACAUAAUCAACUUUGUCCCUGGGCAGCAUCCGAUGAACUUGACUGAGGUGUGUGGCUGCAAAUUAUCUUAUGGUGGGGCGUGAAAAAUGUUUUGGUAUGAUGUUUUGCUUGACCUUUUAGUUUUGUCGCAGUCUUCUUCAAUUGCUGUCAAGAAGAAGCUUCUUCAGGCCCACCUCACGAUGGUGGGUAACACUGGCAGCCUACCCUGCCAUGUUGAAGCAUGAUUGUCAUCCCAAAAGGUCUGGGUAACCACACAGAUUAACUCUCUGUGCCCCUGCAUAUAUUGCAAAAGCAGGGACUUUAUCUUAAGUUGGUCACCAUAUGUUUUGUGUAUCCUCCCCUUCAGCUACUAGAUGACUGUGGUCCGGGAAACAUAAGAUAUUGUAAUAUUAUCAGUAUUGCCCAGUUACUAUCCCAGUUUGGUGGGUGUUUUAAGUAUUUGCGAACCUAUGAUAUUGUAACCAUUUCAGUGCGGAACGGAUAAAACCAUAAAAAUAUUUAGCGAGUUUGUUGCUUCUUUGCUAUCUGUAGUGUCAUGGUUUUGUUUUUCCCAUGUCUAACUGGUAGUUUAUUGAGACAAGUUGGUGGGCGACAUUGCUGAACAGUUCAAGAAGGUGGCUGUACUUUCAGCUCGUACUGGUUAUUUCCUGUCUUCAGUUUAAUAAGGUGGCUGUACUUUCAGCUCGUAAGGAUUGAUAACGAUUUCAGAUCGUCCAGGGGGGAGUCCUGCUGUGGGUGCCAAGUUUUCACACGGAUUGGAUUUGUUUGUGCCUUUUUGAUAUAUAAAAUUUGAUAUAUAAAAUUCUGCCUGGGUGGUGGCAGGGCCAUAGUUGCCGGAUGAUGUACAGUACCUGAUGCUGGCUGUGUGGUGGCACUGACGUAUUUGCCAGAUGAGGCACAGUAACCGCUUCCACCCCCAUGCAGUUGUGCUUGUGGGUGGUUAUGUGCCCACUUCACUCAUUCUGGUGCGGGGAAAAUGCGCGAAUGUGGAGUUUAAUGGAAAUGACAUGUUGGGCAGACGACAAAACUUUUGGCGGAUUUGCACUUGGCUUAAAAUUACAUGGCUGUCCUGGGGGCAUCUUCCAUAGUUCAAUUAUUCUACAACGAAGAAAUAAGAUAAGUUGGUUCAGUACCUAGAUGGUGGUUCUGUUGUGUAAAGUGACCAGAUUGCAUUGUAGUCAAUGAAAAUCUUGACAGUUACCAAGUUGUUAUUGUUUGGACGCUGCGAUAUUCAGGGAAAUGUAAAUGUUGCUGAUUACAAGAAAAAUACUAGUUAAAAGUAGAUACAUAAUGAGCGACCACGGGACACUUGUUCUACAUUAUUAUCCAGUGCCGUCCUAGAUACAUUAGAACUAACACUCUUCGCCACACCUAAACCCCUAAGUCUUUCAUCGUCUCAUUCAGAGCGUCGGCAAUGGUGUCGAGUCCUUCUAGCUGCAGAGGGGCGGUGUUGCCUUUCAUGUGGAUCAGCUCGAUGAGGAGCGAGCCCCUUUCGUUGGCGAUAGCUGCCUGUAUAUAUGGCCAGUCAUGUAAUUAGAUUUGUCUCUCUGGAUAAAGUUGUCUAUUUAGUGCGAAUUGUUCUGAAGUACUGACCCUGGUAAGUGGUUUUGCCAGUGAAUUCCCUUUGAAUUGUCUUAGUAGGUGGACGACACACAGGGCACUCUCUGGCCUAUGCACAAAACGCGUUGUCGAGAAUCAUAAAAAUGGCUAGCAGUCAGGAAGAAAGGAUCACAUGAUUGACAAAAAAAAUGAACAAGUGUUGGGUAGUAGUUUGGCUUCAACAUGCGUACCUUGUGAAUGUUGUGGUAGACAGUAGAGGUGACUUCUUCGUCCAUGAAUGUCUGCUGCAGUGCCACUCGGUGAAGAAUUCUUCAAUGCAAUCAAAAAGAGCGUCGUGUAUCUUGUCAGCCGCGUACAUAAAACAAGUUUUCCGUGUUGUGUCCUCUGUCUGGUAUGCCAUUGGGUCCAUUAUGGUUAUCACGUGGGCCAUCAUGUCCCAGUUGAAGCAGCACCAACCAUGUUGCAUGACGGCGGGGAUUGUAACCUAUUACAUAGGGUGAGAAAAAUGGAAGUGAGGCUUAUGUCAAGCAUCGGCAUUGCUUGGGUUCUGAUGCAGUUCUACCCACUGUAAGAACAGAGAAAUUUGGAUGAAAACAAUUCUGGAGACAUUACCAUCCGACAGUUUGCGAUGUUGCACUUCACUUCAUUUUCGAUGACUUGCCUUUGUAUUGACAUGAUUCUUGUGGUAUUUUCCCCUGCAAAGGCGUGACACUAGCAUGUCACCCAAUAUAAGAAAAAAAGGUUAGAAUAUAUCUAGAACUAUGGCAAGAAUGUGGACAGUGUCCUGUAGUUGUGAUUUCAUACCGCAAAAUCGGGCUCGAGGAGCAACCGGUAUAGUUCGUCGGGGCUGGCACGGUGUGCAUGUGACUCCAUCUGUCCAAUUCGCCGGACGAUCAACGACCCAAGCUCGUGGUCCAAUUCAGAACAAUUGCAUAUUUGUGACUUGAUGGCAUUGCCGCUGACUGCAAUGAUCCGUGGGUCAGGGUGUGAGACCCUAUCCUCGUGAAAAUGGCAUCGGGGGAAAACAGGUCAGCUUAAUCUACUGGGCGCGGCAGGGUCGUCGCGCCGUCCACGCUUGCUUAUCUUUGGAAAGUACCUGGUAUUGCUUACCUUGCUAGGUCAUAGGGUGUUCUUGAUCGCAUCCAUUCUCUGAUGGCUUUUAGAACGCACGGCCCGUGUGCGCACCAACCAGUUGCUCGACCAUGGGUCUUUGGUGAAACCGGUGUGGGUAGCUUUGAUCUUUGUUACAGCCGUGAUGUUGACUUGACCAAAGACAAUAUGUCCCUCGGUGUCUCCAAUCUCAUUGUUAAGCAUCAUUAGCUGGCCCACUAGGUGGUCUGAGUGUGUCUUUGUCGCCGACGUAGGUGAAAUCAGAGUGGCUUUUCCAUCCUUCUUAACAGGCGUACUAGCUUCAUUGUGUUCGUCUAUGUCCAAUUCGAAUGAUGGUGCGUCUGCGAGCAUUGGUGAUUUUAUUGCCCUAAUGUACUUGCAUGGACAACCUAUGAGAACUGCAUAUUAUCAAUGGAGGAAAACAUUGGCAACCUAUUACCUGGCGCGUCGUCUGCCCUUGCUCGCUUUUGGCCCCUAGUAGGUGUUGUGAACAAUUGGUCGGCGAUGGUCAAGACCACUGGUUUGGCGCAUUUAACGGGCGUCAAGGAUGGAGAUGACAACUCCAGCCUUCUUCCAACUAUUUGUUGUGCGAGUCUGCUCGGUGCUUCUGCGUUGUGUGAACCUGCAUAAACAACACAUUUUAGUUCAGGCUAUGUGGAAAAAAGGACAGCUAUUUUAGAGUCAUCACGGCCGGGUGUGUGUGUGGGGGAGUGGAGAGUACCAGAACCACUGACGCCUGGUGCGGUUUUGACAGCGCGAUAAGAUGCAUUGGAUGCGGGUGUUGUCAAAUUUGGUUUGACAGUGUACACCUACAGCAGUUUUUUUGUGAAUCGAAUGUUCUCAGUUGCAAUGUUCCUUCUCAUUUCAUUUGCGAUAUGCACACACUUUGCGUUGUGCUCUUUUAGUGCCCAUCCUAAUGGAGAAGCGGCCUGCAAAAUGUAGGCAGAUGUUAGGUUGUUGUGUGGAGGUGGCCCGCACCAAUCUCAGUCUAAACAAAGAUUUUUUUUGGCUUUGGUAUGUGGUGGGUGUGGAUUGUGUCUCACCAGCUCUGGGUUUUGCAUCUGGAUCCAGCGAGCGUAGUCGCCGGGGCUGAAUUCGAUGAUGCUUUUAUGUGUCUGUGCAAGGUUGCUUGUGUCCGCAUUGGUAUACUCUCCCCGUCGAGUGGUCUCUGGGUUGUGACUGACGAGUGCAUACUGAUUUGCUGAGCCUUCAGCCUUGUGCUCCAUUGCUUUCUUCUUGCCAUGCUUCUCGUUCUGCCAGUUGUGCCAUGUGUAGCACAUGGCAUUCCAGUGUCUUGCCUGCAUAAGGUUGCGCGUAGUUUAGUACGUGCCGCGCUAUCAUAGUUGUGGUUAAACAUACAUAGCUGUUACCUCAGGGACUAUGAAGAUUGUUCUCCCUAGCUUUCUUGCUGAGCACACGAGGAUCAUCCGUUUCAGGGUCUCCUCGUCGAAUAAUUGUAUUCGUGGCAUUGUCGUUUGCUUCAAGUUCAUCAUGCCCAGUUCAACAUUAUCUAGCAUGAACACAUGUCGACAUGAAAAGCACAUGCUGAUUAUGUUAGUGCAGAGCUUCAAACAAAUCGCCAAAAAGAGCAUUCCGUAACUUUGGGGGUUUUAUUUUUGUGAAUUUGGCCUAUCCAACUGUGAUUUUGAGGGAUUUACCUGAAAGAAAAGGUGACACCCAGAGAGGUGGUUGGGUGUUAUGUUUGCAUCUGUUUCCAACUUCAGUUUGCAGACUGCUUCUAGUAAAAAAUUGAAUGAAUAUUUGCACCAAUUGAAGAGGGAGAUGUUUGCUGCAUCCUUGAUGGCAGCCCAGUAGUCGAUGGUUGAGUGAUCAUAUUUGGUGCACGGUGCGAACAGACUGCCCAUCACAAAAACAACAAACGCCAUCUUGAAGGAAUCCUUUUCUAAUCGGCUGGAUAGUUCAUUUAUUUCCUUGCCGAUGAACACUUCGAGCGAACUUAAGCUGCGAUCAGAUUUCUCUGUCCACCCUAUAGAGUUCCUGAUGAACUCGAUUGCUUCAGAUGUGAUGUCUGCAUCUUUCCCAUGGAUGUCUCAUUGACCACAUGGGAUGCCAAACACUUUGUGGAAAUCCUGUGGAUAAAAAGUAAUUGGCGUUCCGCCGUGUCUCAGGAUGAUGCAAUGCUCUUUCACAUCCACCUUGGUCAUGAGGAACUUGCUGAACAUGAGAUUGAUUUUCUGAAUCAUGGGGAUAUGCAAUACACCCUCAAAGCCAAUCUCCUCAACCAGGAAUCUUUUGUAAUCGAUAAUGCAGCAACAACCUCUGUUACUUUCUGAAUAGCUAUCCUAGAUGUGUGUUUAGUGGACCUGCUUGUCGAUCCCGACGGAGCUGCUGCUUCUCCUUCGUCUACCGGCUGCUCUCCAUCUCUUUCCAUUGUGGGCGUGGUCUGGAUCUGCCGUCUGACUUGCUGUUCUCCUUCUUCCAUCGAUCUGUGUUNNNNNNNNNNNNNNNNNNNNNNNNNNNNNNNNNNNNNNNNNNNNNNNNNNNNNNNNNNNNNNNNNNNNNNNNNNNNNNNNNNNNNNNNNNNNNNNNNNNNNNNNNNNNNNNNNNNNNNNNNNNNNNNNNNNNNNNNNNNNNNNNNNNNNNNNNNNNNNNNNNNNNNNNNNNNNNNNNNNNNNNNNNNNNNNNNNNNNNNNNNNNNNNNNNNNNNNNNNNNNNNNNNNNNNNNNNNNNNNNNNNNNNNNNNNNNNNNNNNNNNNNNNNNNNNNNNNNNNNNNNNNNNNNNNNNNNNNNNNNNNNNNNNNNNNNNNNNNNNNNNNNNNNNNNNNNNNNNNNNNNNNNNNNNNNNNNNNNNNNNNNNNNNUAGUUUGAUUGUUGUGCUGGUGACCUCGGAGAUGUGGUUCAGAACUUACCUCGCUGCGCGACGAACCCCCGGCAGCUCUGUCGCCUGAAUCCGCCGGCGAGAUCCUCGUUUCUCUGUUUCGCUAAUGGAUACUGCUUUCGAUCUGCUGUGUCUGUGCGUGUGCGAGGGGUGCGUGGCAUGUGGGUACAACGUCUUAACUCUCUACGACAUAAUGUGGUUGGGGGUUGGGGGUUGGGUUCUACCGCGUGUAGCACAUGCCCCACCUAGUCCUGGCCAUGGGAAGCCCGGCCCGGCCGGCCCGGCCCGAAAAAGCCCGGCCCGGCCCGGCCCGACGCUGCCCCCGGGCCGGGCUCGGGCCUAGUUUUUGAGCCCGAAGGCCGGGCCCGGGCCCGUCGUUUUUGCACUUUUCUGAAGGUCGGGCCGGGCCGGCCCGAAGCCCGGCGGGCUUUUAGGUGUUCGUGCCGGGCUCGGGCCCAGAAACACAGGCCCGAUGGCCGGGCCGGGCCGGGCCCAGGCCUGGGUCUUUUAUGUCGGGCUUGGCUAGGCCCGGCCCGAAGCCCGGCCCGGCCCGAGGUUUGGCCAGGUAUAGCCCCACCUACGCACCCGUGGGUUCGCUUUUUGCCAGUGGGAGCGUUGGAAUUUUUGUCUCUGCACAUCUUGGCUGAUGCAUGUGAUGCACGCCGCACAGGUGAUCAUUAGCUUUUUUUCGAUAAAGGGUGGAUUUUAUUGACUCAGAAUGAAGCAUCAAGAAGAUACAAAUACAAUGAGCGCACAUCCGACCUCUGCAUAGCUAGGAUGCACACAGCCAACACCAACGCACACACACGUAAACACGCCGACAAGUAGCAAAGUCAUAUAAGACCAAAACUAUGCCUAAGCGUGGAAAAAAGAAAAGAAUCCCAAAGCGAUCAAGACAGCGAUCGACAAACUACAACAAUGACCUUAUCCGCACCAACAUCUUUUGACACACACUGACGACGAGAAAAUUUCUUCAACAGCAACGCCUUCAUGAAGAAAACGACACUCAAGUGUCGUCAUCACCUGAUCCAACCAUCAACGGCCAGAUUCUGAGCUUUCACCCUGAAGAACAAGUCCAAGCAUAUUCGAACAAUGCCUUCAACAAGGUAACGAUGCAAAAACAUCGUCAUUGUCAGGUAAAACCAUAUCAGUUCAAACCUUGGUUUUCACCACGGAGCUCCAUACUGGGGUACUCGAGAAGCACCACCAAAUCGAAGUCAAUUGUGUUGUCACCAUCACUUUUCCACGAUCCCAGCAAUCACAUGCGCUAAAGCACAAUGUCAUCUCUGCACACCCAUCCCUUUGCGUCAAGUCAUCAUCCAUAGAUUGCAUCAUGCCGUUGAAAACAAGCUGACGGAAGUGAGAGCCGCCAAAAGUCAUGAAGGAGCCUUCCGGCUGCAUCCCACAACCACACCAAUGCUAGUUGCCAGCAGCAGCCAAUGAUUAUGGGCAGAGAAACAAUCAGUGUCCACCACAACCCACUAAUCAAAGAUCGGCGGUGCCGCCAUGCAGUUCUAGCUCCAACCUUGAAGCAAUCACCACCUGGGAGCAGUCCGCUAGGCCAAGCCGGAACCAACAGCUUUAGCAGCACAUCCCCGGUCAGGAUCUGACACCUGUGCAGCCGCCAAGCAGAGACUGCCUCAAGCGGCAGCGAACACCGGGAGCCUACAACCAAUUCCACUUGUGAGGAGGCGCAUGGCUGCAUCACAGCAGGGGAUGAAGCCAGCCAGUGAUGCCGCAAGGACGCAACCGCCGCGGACCGCGGCCUGCACCACGGCGAGAUGCAGUUAAACCGUCAGCGUCCUCCAAGGCACCCAACGCAGCACACCGGCCGCCACACACCUCGUCAACGCAGCAGCCAAAACGGGCGUGCGGUCAGAUUGAUGAUGUAUAUCAGCCACGGUCAGAUCUCAGAUCGGGAUGGGAGGUAGAGAGAUGGAUGGGAAGGGAACGAACAUGCAGCCCCGCCGCCGCCGUCAGCACCGAUGGCCUCCUCCGGCGGCGGCGGGUGGGCUUGGUCGAUGAUGGGGAGUUUUCUAAGCGGCGGCGGGGAGGCCUCCGGAGUCGCCCGUGCGAGCGACCCGGGAGGCAGUUGCAAACGCACCAGGUGAUCAUUUGCCGUGCGAGAUUACAAAUGUUUGGACUGCACCGUACUAUGGCCUCAGUCAAACCUAAUAAACUACAUAACCCAUACUGUCAGGGAGAAGAAAUUAAAAUCUUGAUCAGGCCGCGCUUCGUCAUGGCUGGUUGUAUGCCACACUGCUCAAUACUGCCCGCCGGCUGACUUGGCAAGCACCACGAAGAGCAUUGCCAGGCAGAUCAUCAUGGUGUUCCUCGCCAUGCUGCGUAUGUCAUCCAUGGCGCGGCCCAUUCCGAACAUGACGUUGCUCCCUCCUCCGGCCGCCUCGAUGAGUAGGUUAAUGCCAACCCCGGUGAUGUAGAACGCGUAUUGGUCCUCCCACAGCCAAAAUUCGCAGGGGGCUCCGUCCUGCGCGUGGUUACAAAACUGAUCAGGGAACAAAAACAGUGGAGUAAUCUUCUGCUGCAUGUGUGUUCCGUGAUACUUACUGCCUGGUUCGGGCACUUGUAGAACCGGAUGCCCGGGUUAUGAUCCAUCCCAGAUACGAACCACCUGGUCCUCGUCCUAGUGCACCUUGGGCACAUGAUCAAUGGUAGCGGCGGAGGAGGUGCCCGGAGACGCCGCGCCGAUGAUGAACUGCUGGACAUCUUGGCAUAGUUGCGGGGGGUGGAUGGGAGUGAGAGAUGUUUGUGCAUGCUUGACUGAGGCCGUUGCGCUCGCUGGUUCCUGUCCAGCAGUUGCAUCGUCUUUAAAUACAUCCUCCCCAAGAAAUGUUUAUGUUAUACAGUGUCUCAGCAACGAUAGUAUUCCGUCCUCUUCCCUGCGAUGUACAGUCCUAUGAGCAGCGGCUUGUCAGACUGACCUGUCAGGUUGGUCCAUCUAAAUACAUCAAUACGAACCAUAUCGUUCUCCCGUUUCUCUAUACUAGUAAGCUUGCACGUGCAAUGCACGUCUUGCUUGCACAUGCAAAGGUAAAUAACGACAAACCAUGAUUAGAUCAAUGGUGGGCAUAGGGUCCAUUGAUUUCUCAAGAAACAUACUAUGAGCAGAAAAUAAUGUAAUAUAAAUGAAUAAAUAAUUGGUAAGAAAAAAUAUGAUCCGAAUAAAGGUUGCAUAAUGAUGGAGAAAAAUGUAACAUAUGUUUUGGAUAACAGUGCCCAACCAUGUUAUGAGUUUCGUACAGGCACUUGAAAUUUGAUUGUGAGAUAUUCUCUAUUCCUAGUCGAUAAUGCAUAAAAAUACAACUAAAAAGGGAUAUAAAAACCAAGCAAUUAUCAGCUUGGGCAACAUUAUCUCAUCUCUGUUGAGAUGUCUUCACCAAGAUUUCGUUCUCUGCUUUUUCUUUACCCAACUUAAUUACUGGAAAGGUAUUUAAGUUGCUCAUUGGUCAGCACACUACAUGGCAGAUCAAUAAUACUACCACUGUAAAUCACUAAAAGGAGAGGACACUUCGCAAACAUGUCUCAUAUUUCAGUAUACUACUACUUUAGUACUUACGGCACGUGUGGGAAGAUGCAACAACAAUAAAAAAAAGGUUUCUUGUCCCUGUAAAAUCAGUGAAUUAUAUCUAGAUCACAUAUUUACUCCAUUCAAUUGAACUAAUUUUGACGAAUAUCAAUUUCAGGUCUAAAAUUUCAAGCUUAAUGAAAAACAAAAUGCAAUAGGCAUAACUGAAUAAUGGGUACAUGAUAGUAGGUUAAAUAAGCCCAUACAACUUGUGGUCUAUGGAAAUAAGAAUUAGAAUUCAAGCUCAUACAAAUAAAUAAAUAGAUUAUCAAAAAGCUAUAUCAGGUUACAGAGCAACAAUAGUGCUACCAUGAGGUUGCAGUGAGGAAUAGUGGAAAAGGAAUAAAAAGUUGUGUAAGCAUGAGAGCAAACUUCACCAAUAAUUUUUGUGCCAGUCACAUAGCAGGUGCAUUCCUGUUCUGAUUAAAUCAGAUAACCAAUGAUGGAAUAAUCCCAUUAAAGGGGAUAGUUGCAUUAUUGUUCAUGUUUUUCUUCACCGCAAAGAUCAUAUAUCUGAGUGUAGCAUCUGCAGCUAACUUUCAUCACCUCCCGGACCGUCGUGGUAGGUUGUUGAUAACAACAGUAACACAAUCGCCGCGAGAAAAAUGUGUGAUGUAGCACAAUGGUGACACCAACGCCUCCCGGCUGUGCCCUGCCACCGGACGGUGCCCCCAUCUAGGAGUACACAAGUUGCCCCACGCCAAGCGAGAUCUUUCAAAUCUUCUCUAUCAUUGUCAUUGCAAAAGGACUUUCAUCAGUGGCUCGCUGACAAUCUCCCCCAAACCCUACAAGAGAUUCAAGUAAGUUUAAACUUCCAUUUUGCACAUAUGCAAUUGAGUCACUCACCUUGCUAGAUUAGAUCAGAUCUACUAUCCAUACCUAAGCCCUCCGAAUUAUUGUAUUUUCCUGGCCAGAUAAUGUGUCAACAAGCUUGUCCCUUCAUAUUGUCAAACACGGGCUGACUGGACCAUCUACUUUGGUCAUUCAAAUUAUAAAACACAAUCAAAUCUCAUCUUAUUCCAUCACGUGAGCUUUUCCCAUUUUUUUUAAAGAGCUUUUCUCAGUUUUGGACAAACUGAAUGACGGUGACGAUUUGUAUAUUGUAGCUUUUUCUUUCAUACGCUUCACUGUGUAGAUGGGAGAGCGCGUUGUGCCCCUAUGUGCAACCCCAAAAACCUUGAUUCAAGGUUUGUAGGUCAUAAUAGUUGUCAUCACUCGCAAGCUUGCUUGUGCACUUUAAAAAACUGCAUGACGAAGCACAUCAAGAGCAGCAAAGGUGCUCUCAAGUUGUUAUGCAUAUCAUAUGGCACAAGUAGGACAACAAAAUGACAGUCAUCAAGGAAAAUAUAUAAUUACCAAAUCAACCACAAAUCAGCACUCGCAUCUCCAUCUAUGUAUCAGACUACUUGGAACUGAACUGAAUGUAAAGCAAGAUUUAAGUGUUGACCAUUAGUCCUCAAUGUCCCAUGUGUUCUCCAUCCCGCUCCUGAUUUUACUGUCCUACUCUAGUUCGUAGUCUAAAUUUAGUUACUGGUUGCACUCACCCCUAAGUGAACACUAAAAGUUUUAAUAGGAUAAAUCACACAGAUAUAUCAUUAAUUACCUUAGUCAAUAGAGUCCUUGAAUUGGGUCACAAGAUCCUGACAAAACUGACAGGAGUUUUCGUCUCUGAAACUUUUCAUGUCUGGUUCGCUACUACUCACAGUUCUUUCUUGGAUUAAAUAAGCCCCAUGAAAGCAAACUUUCUUGGGGUAUACGACUGAAAAGAAGGUUGUAAAAUUCAUCAAAAUCAUCUACAAAACAGUAUGACAUACUCUUUGCGCAAGUACUGUAAAAACAAGUAUUACUUGUCCUAGCCUUUCUUUCUCAACAGUCUCUGGCUUGUAUUGAAAAAACAGUAUGACGUACUUUUUUACUCCUACAACUACCUUCGUAAUGAUCCGAAGAAAGUGUCGCAGACGCUAUGCACAUUUAUUUUGUUGGACUGCAGAUCCAAUUGAGCAGUCCCUAAAGCUGGAAGGACUUGAGAGAAUUCAGUACACUAUUAUUAGGAGCCAACAAUUCCGUUUCAGAACACAAUUGCUAUAGAUAUAUGAUGCUGAAAAUUCCGUUCUUAAAAUAUCAUUCAUAUUUAAACUCGACAUAUCUAGAAAAUGAGAGCUUUGGCCUUCUUCUGAUAACAUGAAAGUAGCAGCUAGCAGCCAUGUUGCAACUCCAUAUUUUAGACGCUUUCAAUGAAUACACAAGACAUGCAAGGACCGCUCAAAGUUUCGGCGGCAAUGUGAGCAAAACAAGUCAGCAAGCACAUAAUGAUUUCUAGGCUGAGAAGAGUGUAGAUAGACGUGCAUAACAAGUAUUCCUAUAUACGAUCCUUCACCACUUAUCCACUUCUAAAACAAACCAUAUGCUAAAAGCUGGAAUAUAGAUCACGAAAAUGUUGCGAUAAUUCUGAUUUUUGCAGUUGACAGAACAGUAUUAGUAGAAAGUAAGUAGUAUUGUUCUGGAAAUUUAGUGAAACAGAAGCGUGAUUAGCAUAUCAAAAUGCCGUAUUAAUCGACCCAUUGUAUCUGGAAGAAUAGGGCGGCAUGUCUCACGGGGUCAUCCAUGAUCGCAGUGGAUGUAAAUCACUUGGUGGUCGGUGAUGAACUGGGGCGAGAUGGAUGCACCCGAUGGACUUUUGAGCACAGUACUUGACACAAUAGCCUUGAUCUUUGCGACCCCUCUCCAAAGCUGCCUUUAUAUCCUGAAAUCUCCCGAAAAAACCAAACUCUGAGACAGAUGGUAGCCGGUGAGGGGAAGUGACCACAUGCUGCUGAAGUAAGCCUCUGCUUUUUAUGUUCCGAGAGGUCAAAUUUCAGGCUGGUUCUAGUGAUACUUAUCAGCCUAAAACUACUUGGUCACAUACGGACAUGAAGUCCAACUGAUUGUCCGGUAUUUAAAUAGUUCAAACUUUUUCACUACACGGUUUGUGACUAAUAAGUUAGUCAUAUGUUAGUACUACACGGUGCUUAAUGACAUUUUAGUUUUUUUGCAAAAAAAAGAAUUAUAGCAAUUGCAGUUCACUUGUUCGUUUUUUCUCUAACUAACGAGAAACAAAUAGGAUCUGCUUUCUUGCUAAAAAAUUCUUUAAGCAAGGGAUCAACAUAACUUCCGUCAAAUUCUAUGAAAUCAUGUGAUGCUAGAUAACAAUAACAACAUCAAACUCUACAAAAUAAAUGCCUUGGCAUUUAAAAAAAUCCAUGAUGAGCUCAUUGAUGAGAAGCAGACAAGCACUAUGCCAAUAAAUAAUUACCACUACCUAAGCAUCAUUGAGCUACAUACUAUGACGCUCUUGUUUAUUCAGUAGAAGAGCAAGAAAAGUCUUCCUUUCAGCGUGAUAAUUAGAAAUAUUUCAGAUGCAGAAGAGUAGGAAAAGAAUUUACCAAUGGAUGAACAGUUUCAUAUGAAAAUACUUACGUGCAUUCUAAAGAUUAUUCAGUUUAUGGAACUUUAAAAAGUAAUAACAUGGCGAAAGCUUUUAUAUUGUCUUUCAGAGGAUAAAACAAUCAUGCAUGUUUGAACAAAGUUCAGAAUCAAGUUGUAAACCAGAUACCUUUCUAGUUGCAAUACCUCCUUCAGCAUCCUCUUUCUUGUUGUAGGAAAAAAUAAGCUUGAAUAAUGAUCCAAGAGCAAAGGCGUUGGGACUGUCAGUGCCACCCAUCAGCAGCAUUGUCGACUUAUAUUUCUUCCUCAUUGGACCAUCACAUACUAUGUUCUUCUUAACUAUCACCUACUCAAGGCAGUUGCAGAGCUUUGCAUAUAAUUACAUAUUAUUUCAACAUAAAUAGCACAGCUUAUCAAAUAAUCAAGUAUACAGAGAUAUGCAUGAAUUUCAGCACAACAUAAAGAUCUAAACUUCAUGCUUUUAUAAGGGUAGUAGUAGAUGAACACUAUAUCACUACAAUAACUCACAAUAGUAUCUGAAUUGUGGAGCACGACCACAAUGUUCAGAAAAGACGCAUGACAUUUACCUGAACAUGGAUAACCUGUUCGUCAAUCAAGAAGGCAUGUCUCUUCAGAGAAUAAUAUUCAGUUUCACUGGUUAAAACUGCUUCUUGCUUUUAACUGCAUUUCACUCAAAUUAGCCUAACCUCAAACUGAGGACAGAUCAGUCUACUGCUAUUCCAGCAAGCAAAAUGAAAUUCAUUCAAAGACAGAAGAUAACAUAGAGAGCAAGCAUGACAUGGUGGAUAAAAUGCGACAGAUCGGUAGCUGGUACUCCCUAUGUAAACUAAUACAAGAUCAUUUAGAUCACUAAUAUAAAACUGGUUCAAUGUGAUACGAAUUGCAACAGAUGUCAACACCUAUGAAGCUACAGACAGGCAACUCCCAGUUCAUUGAAGUAUACCACAACUAUAUAUAUAUAUAUAUAUAUAUAUAUAUAUAUAUAUAUAUAUAUAUAUAUAUAUAUAUAUAUAUAUAUACUGCUAUAUACUGCUAAGGACAUACAGAGAUCAGAACCAAGAAUAGGAAGUGGUGGUAACCUGACUGUAGCUGCGACUGCGGUGGUUCCAAGACGGCCUAGGCGAGGCGGCGGAGAACCGUCAGGCAUCGUGGGGAGUGUGGUCGCGAAGGGGCCAGCGGUGGGGCGUNNNNNNNNNNNNNNNNNNNNNNNNNNNNNNNNNNNNNNNNNNNNNNNNNNNNNNNNNNNNNNNNNNNNNNNNNNNNNNNNNNNNNNNNNNNNNNNNNNNNNNNNNNNNNNNNNNNNNNNNNNNNNNNNNNNNNNNNNNNNNNNNNNNNNNNNNNNNNNNNNNNNNNNNNNNNNNNNNNNNNNNNNNNNNNNNNNNNNNNNNNNNNNNNNNNNNNNNNNNNNNNNNNNNNNNNNNNNNNNNNNNNNNNNNNNNNNNNNNNNNNNNNNNNNNNNNNNNNNNNNNNNNNNNNNNNNNNNNNNNNNNNNNNNNNNNNNNNNNNNNNNNNNNNNNNNNNNNNNNNNNNNNNNNNNNNNNNNNNNNNNNNNNNNNNNNNNNNNNNNNNNNNNNUGCGAUUUGGGGUGGGCAGCAGCCGGCGUCACCGUGCGCGCCGCAAGGAAGCUGAACCCGGCGGCCACCUCGACCCUCCUCGCCGCCUUCCGUCGCCGCCUCCACCUCGACCGCGCGCACCGUAAGGAAGCAGAACCCGGCCUCCACCUCGACCCUCCGCACUGCAAGGAAGCACGACCCGGUGGCCAUCUCGUUACUCCCCCGCCUCCGCCUCGCCACCUUCCUGGACACCGCGCUCACCCUCCACCUCCUCGCGCGUGACGGAGGAGGCCAAGCUGAGCGGCGGUGGCGGAGAAGGGCGAGGAUUUAGGGCGGCGGGCGGCAGCGGAGGCCGAGUGGAUCGGCGGGUGGUGGACGGGGCGGACGACGGUCGAGGAUCGGCGUCCGCUGGGAGGUGGAGCGGGCGAGGCAUGGUGCGGGCGUGGCGUGCGGAGCGGUUUUUGUUUUUCGAGCCAGCGGGUAGGAUUAGUCCGAUGUUACCCUGAUGGCACCACGGGUAAUUAAUUAAGGCAAUGGCAAUGAUGGGUAAUUAAGGCAUAAAACGCGUUUAGUAUGCUGGAGGGAUAUAGAUCAUCAGAUUGCAAGUUUUGAUGAACAGGAUGAUUUGGUUCUCCGUCCUCUCUUGCUUUUGCUAGUAGAAGAUACGCCAAGUAGCAAGCCAGCUCGCCCCGCAUCGCGACGCUCUGCGCACCGUAGAUGCGCUGGGUGCAUCUGUCGCUCGGUGCAGCGAUGCACUUCUCGUAGUUCCGCUUUGCAAAAAUCCUCCUUUUUUGAGGUCAAGAAAACGAAGGAAAUCAUUGGCGUCUUCCUCCUGCGCUCCCCUCACCAGAUCUCGAUCCCACCAUGUCUGCCACUUCCGCCCUGGGGUCUCCGGCGACCUCCGCCGCCGCGGCCCCUCUGCCCGACCUCUCCAUCCCCUAUGAUCUAGCCACGCGUGGACAGUGGCAAGCGCUGCUCGCGAACCUCGCUCACCCCUCCCACGCCCAUCACCCGCACCACGGCCUCCUCUUAUCUGCGCUCUCGGCGCUCUCCCUCGCCAAGCUCCGCCGCUACCCCGACGGCGCCGCCCUACUGGCCUCACUUCACCCCGAUCCCGGCUGCCCGCCGCCCCCCUUUCUUCUUCGCCUCCUGCACGCUCUCCUCCCGCUCUUCUUCCCCGACCGCCCCCUCGCUCUCGACCGCCUCUACACGCUUCUCUCAUCGGUCCGCGCCCGCCCCGACUCCCAGCAUCCGGAGUGGCGCCGUCGUGACGCCCUUGUCGCGUCCGUCCUCGCCUCCGAUCACCUCGCCCACCGCGAGUUCGACGUCGCCCUUGCCCUCGUCGCUGAACUCGUCGCCCGCGAGCCGGACAACCCGGUCCUGCUCUCCCGCCUCGCCUAUGCCCACCUCCAGAUCGGCAACCUCGCUGCCGCCUCCGCGGUCUUCCAACACGUUGAAUCCGUCGCGGCCGGCGACUCCUCUCACGACAGCCUCCUGUCUCGCAACCGCGCGCUCGAGUGCAUCGUGGCUAAGGACUAUGCCGCAGCGGUGCGGGAGUACGAGCUCUGUAUUGAAGCUGACCCGGCUGACGCCAUCGCCGUGAACAACAAGGCGCUAUGCCUAAUGUACUCGCGGGACCUCGGCGAUGCCAUCAAGGUGCUUGAGGGCGCGCUGGAGACUAUGCCCACGGCGGCGCUCAAUGAGACAGUGGUGGUCAAUUUGUGUAGCAUGUACGAGCUUGCCUUCGUCAACCAUGGUGAGGUCAAGCGAACCCUUGCCGAUUGGAUAACGAGGGUGGCACCAGACGACUUCGACAAGUCCUGCACACGCAUGUAGGAGGUACUGGAAUUCAGCAUUGAAUUAUUCACCUGCUGCUAGGAUGUGCUCUAGCAGAGAGAUUGUGUAUUUGUGUUGCUAUAGUUGCUCCACACACUGGAGUUUGAUUGUUCAUGUUUCCAUGACAUUUAUCAUCUAAUGAUAACUGAAAGUUACGUGGUUGCAGUGACUUGCUCAACUGGAAGGUACUGUGUGGUUAACAAAUAAUGGGGAAUUUCUAGCAUUAUGUUGUGCUGCUUGAAAUGCAGUUAUCGUACAUGUUUGGAAUACUUUUUGCAUAGUUUAGAAUGACUAAUAUGCGCUCGAAGGCUAAAGUUUGGAAUGCAAUGAUCAUAUGUAUUUGGUGUUUGGUGAUAAGUUUGUUCCUGUUGUUAUCCUUACUAAAAGCAAUUCAACAUUGUAAUUAUGAAAUGUUUUAUUGCUGCACCAUGAUAAUUCCUUUUCUGAUUAAUGCAAAGGUUAAAGAAUGCCUUAACUAAAGCCUGUAAGAUGGCAGCUAUGUGAUACAAAUCUUGUGGCCAAAGAUGUAGAUUCUCCCCACUGGAACUACCAAUUUCACCCUCCACCCCCCCCAAAAAAUGCAAUGGCAGGGAAUAUGGGGACGGAUUAUAGUCUGCUUGUUUUAACCAAGAAGUACUAUUAAAAGUAUCAUGGGUCAAUUUAACUUAAUAUCUGGAUAUGAUUUUCAUUUGCAGUUUCAUUAAGCAUGGUAACACAUAUUAUAGCAAUAAUUAUGUCAUUUUUUUGCAUGUUGGAACAUUAUCUCUUAAUACCUUGAGUUGUGUAGGUUUUUUUAUCAAUAAAACCUCAGAUUUCAUUCCAUGCCUCAGUUAAUAAUAUCUGUGUCAUGAUGAUUUUGUGUGUGAUUAUCUUAGUUAAAAGCUUGCAUAGCAGUUACAUGAUAUAUGUGUUGUCGCCAAUAGAAUACCGUGGGCUUGUGAAAUAUAGAUUUUCUUUCCUCUGGGGCAAGCAAAUUUACCUGCUACCCUCGCAAUAAAAUGGCACGGAAUAUGUAGUAGGGAAUAUAUUGUGCUUGUUUUAACUAAUGAUUAUUAUUUAGAGGUUCAUGGGUACUAGAGCAUAUGUUACUUAAAUAUCUGGGCAUGCUUUUGAAUUUGCAGUUUGAUCCAGUAUGGUAUACAUGUUAUAACGAGAAUUAUAGCAGGUUUUCUCCUACUCCCUCCGUCCAUUUCUCCGACAAGUAUUUCCGGACGGAGGGAGUAUUAUAAAAUGAUCUCUUAUUCUCUUAGUACCUUGAACUGUGUAGGUAUUGUUAUCUUUAAAACUUAAGAUUUCAAUUCCAUGCCUGUCUUUAAUACUGCCAUGAAGGAAAAAACUUACUUUCCCCGCGCUUGAAAAGAAGGUGCAUAAAUGCUGAUAGUCUUUUUUUCUUAUAAUCUUGGUCAAAUUUUUCACAAUUUGACUUCAGACGAAUUUGCAUGCCUUCUUUUCAAGCACGGGGAAGUACAUAAAAACCACUAUACAUGAUGUUGGAAGAGCUAGGUACUCAAAACAGUAAAUAAAUUAUUGUGGUUGCACUAGCAUCCAUUCACAAAGGUGCUGAUCACCUCAAAUCCUUCGCUCUCUUUAACAGUUGAUUACUUGAACUUAAUGCAUAGUAGAGCUCUCAGUUUUCUGACUGUCAGUCCGAGUAUUGUUAGUGUCACCGAGACAUGACCUUGAAGGUGAUUACACCAGAUGACUAUCUUGAGGUUUUAAAACCCUUGCACAUUGUUAUUGUCAGUUUGAGAUUUAUAAAUGAUUGUCCUAAGAUAGGGAUGCAGAUAUUGGUUGACACCUUGAUGAAGGCCAGUUAGCUGGAAGAUCCCGCUUCAUGCCAUCACUCAUGUAAGUGACCAAAAGGCCUGCUGCUUCUAGUCUCCUAAUCUAGCCAAUACUCCCUCCAUACACAAAUCUAAGAUGUUCCAACUUUUUCUGAAUUGGAUGUAUAUAGACACGUUUUAGUGUGUUUGUUCACUCAUCUUAGUCUGUAUGUAGUCCAUAUUGAAUAUCCGAAACAUCUUAUAGUAUUUGUGAACAGAGGGUACUACUUCUUUUUUCUGAAUUGGAUGUAUGUAGACACAUUUUAGUGCGUUUGUUCACUCAUUUCAAUUUGUAUGUAGUCUAGUAUAUUGAAACAUCCAAAACAUCUUAUACUCCCUCUGUAAAGUACUCCUCUGCAUCUAGACGCUCUUAUAUUUCUCUACAGAGGGAAUAUUAGUGAUCUAAAACGUCUUAGGGGGAGUAUUUGUGAAUGGAGGGAAUACUGUAUAUGUGCAGCCUGCUUAAUGCGGCACAUGGGUGAGGAUCAAACUGGGUAACUAUGAUGGAAGUUCCUGUCCAGCGGGUGGCUGAAUGUGUUUUCUCAUCCUGGGAAUCACGGACCGGGAUGACGAAAGGAAAUCGGCCGAUUGAGACACGACGCUGGAGUUGCUCAAGUAUCCACAUACAGUACUUUGUGUUGGCACUGCUAUUUUUCCUUCGGGAAGGAAGCAGCUUCAGUUGAAUGCAUCCGCACAUUUCUCCCACGCUCGCUUGUACACGUGGCCCUUCCAUGCCAGCUAUUGUGCUUUUCACGAUCUUCCACGGUUUUUGAUUCACAGGUUUCUCACAAACGUUGGAAUAGAAAAAAAAGGUUUUGGUAAUCCUGCGAAUCAAAGAAACCUGAAGUCACAGGAUUACAAUUCUUUUUCUAUCAAAUAUUGGCUUCUUAGAGCAGCUAGAUCAUUUAUCUUUAUAACUGCUUAAACCGAAAAAGGCUUUAAUCCCGCUUUACAUAUAAAGCAACUAUUAGAACGGCACACACGCAUAAACUAGACAUGGAUCUAUCCAUACAAAUAGAACAAUGCGCGUGCAAACACAUGGUGUCGAGCAACACCUAGGAACACUCCGCCAUCGAAACCAAACCCAUGACACCGAGAGUCCAGAUCAUGAUCACCCACGCAAAGCCAGGGGGAACCCCUAACAAAGACCGACUCCGCCUAGCAAGGACCGUAGCAUGCACUGAGCAGAAGUGGAGUCUGUAAGAUUUGCCUUCGCCUUCGUGGACCAUACCGAGCACUCCAAACCCCUUGCACCCCGUGAGGGAUGGAUGUUGGAUGCGUUCGGUUGAAGGUGUGGUAUAAAUGGAUUGGGACCGUUUAAUUUUUUUGGGAUUGAACUAUUCAAUUCAUAUGUUUGGCUCAAUAUGAGAUGAACUAAUUAUUUAGGACAGGAGCAUCAGUCAUGCUCACAUGGUCAUGCAUGGAAAGGGUGACCAUUUGAUUCCACCGAUUUCGUUGGGUGGAACUGUUCAGUAUCUUCGAGGCAUAUUCUCUUUUUUUGACUCGAACCAUUCAAAUGUUUUAUAACCAAACAUGUAUAUUUUAUGGACGAUCUCAACCAAUCUCUGGCCACCCUUGCAACCAAACGCAUUAUAAAUGUACCGUCUGAAUAUAUCUUCCCCUGAUAAUAAAGGGGCUAUGGCUUCUGGUCGUCCGUCAUGAAAAUUGCCCCUGGAUCAUAAAUUACCUACUAUGUCAUCCAUAAGCAAAACGAUUCGGUUUUAUUUAAAAUUGCCGCGGGGCUUGGUUCUUAUACGUUGAUACACUAAAAAAAAA
rnacentral:lncRNA from 1 species